rnacentral:rRNA from 1 species
GUCCAGACUCCUACGGGAGGCAGCAGUGGGGGAUAUUGCACAAUGGGGGGAACCCUGAUGCAGCGACGCCGCGUGGGUGAAGAAGCGCCUCGGCGCGUAAAGCCCUGUCAGCAGGGAAGAAAAUGACGGUACCUGAAGAAGAAGCCCCGGCUAACUACGUGCCAGCAGCCGCGGUAAUACGUAGGGGGCAAGCGUUAUCCGGAUUUACUGGGUGUAAAGGGGGCGCAGACGGCAGCGCAAGCCAGGAGUGAAAGCCCGGGGCCCAGCCCCGGGACUGCCCUUGGAACUGCUUGGCUGGAGUGCGGGAGGGGCAGGCGGAAUUCCUGGUGUAGCGGUGAAAUGCGUAGAUAUCAGGAGGAACACCGGCGGCGAAGGCGGCCUGCUGGACCGCGACUGACGUUGAGGCUCGAAAGCGUGGGGAGCGAACAGGAUUAGAUACCCCCGUAGA